rnacentral:rRNA from 1 species
CAGUCGCCACGGUAAUACGGAGGGGGCUAGCGUUGUUCGGAAUUACUGGGCGUAAAGCGCACGUAGGCGGCUUAUUAAGUCAGGGGUGAAAGGCGGUAGCUUAACUAUCGGAGUGCCCUUGAUACUGAUGAGCUUGAAUGCAGCUGAGGUAGGCGGAAUGUGACAAGUAGCGGUGAAAUGCGUAGAUAUGUCACAGAACACCGAUUGCGAAGGCAGCUUACUAAAGUGCGAUUGACGCUGAGGCACGAAAGCGUGGGGAUCAAACAGGAUUAGAUACCCCAGUAGUCCCUGUCUCUUAUAC